rnacentral:rRNA from 1 species
GAUGAACGCUGGCGGCGUGCCUAAUACAUGCAAGUCGAGCGAACAGGUGAGGAGCUUGCUCUUUUCUCGUGAGCGGCGGACGGGUGAGUAACGCGUGGAUAACCUACCUGCUAGAGUGGGAUAACUACGGGAAACGGGAGCUAAUACCGGAUAAGAUUUUGAACCGCAUGGUUCGUUGGUAAAAGUCGGUUUUGCGGUCCCGUCUAGAGGGAUCGCAGCGGCUUUGGUUGGUUGGUAAGGAAAAGGGUUACCAAGGGAACGAUGAGUAGCCGACCUGGGAGGGGGAUCGCCCACCUUGGAACGAGCCCACGCCCCGGACUCCUGCGGGAGGCACCGGUCGGGAACCGUCCGCAGAGGUCGAAAGCCUGCCGGAGCAACCCGCCGGGCUGGAGGAGGUUCUCCGGAUCGUAAAACCCGUUUAUUGGGGAAGAACAGAUUUGUAAUGAACUGUGCACAUCGUGACGGUACCUAAUCAGAAAGCCACGGCUAACUACGUG